GGGUGCUAUGGCAACCGGCUCAAGAUUGAGGGAAGGGCAGGAAAAGAAACGAGCCACAAGUUGACUGUAAGCUCUGAAAGAGGUACGAAUACCAAUUAAUAAUUCGUGCACUAGCGUUGGAAAGGAGUUCCGUGACAGUGACUGAUUGGAUAUUUUUCUGAAAGAUUGCAUUUGGCUGUUAAACUAAAGGCAGUCAUUUCGUACCCUCCAGUUUCCAGUCGCACCUAGUUCAAAUCACCCUUACCCAUUCAUCGUCGAAUAUUAGUGGGAUUAUCUACUGGGGAGGAUGUUACUGUGCAGUUGCCCUCAUCAGGGGAACAAACAUUUGUGCUUUCGAGUUUCCAAACUCCAAUAUACCGUUGCUCUCAUAGAAUAUUCUACCUUGGGCACUUCCUCAAGCAGUUGAGUUCGCUCAACUGUUAAUUUCGAAGAACUACCUCUGCAGUCGAUUUACUUUUUCUUUCGUUCUAAUCUCAUCUAACUUGAACCAGACUGAAUUACUAGUGUUCCGUUGACCGAUUGUGGAACCAAGAGACCCCUCAUCUGCUGCGGAUUCAGUACAGACGGAUUGUGGACAGCAGUGUAAGAGCCUUGAGUCCUCCACUAUUGAGGAAUCAGCCAGCCAGACGGCUAUUCCCCGCACCAUCGCUUCGUGAUUACAUCCACAUUAUCCUACAAUCUAAUGGGACGAGACCUGCUGCGUACCUUUCAAGUUAAACUUGCCUGCUCCCCUGAUGGUGUCCAACUUGACUCCAACUCAAUUGAACGCCAACUGUACGUAACCACUAAACCUCAAUGGUGGUCACUCGACCUUGACCCUCAAGGGUCCAGAAGUCACAUCACCCUUGCUUAUGAUUGGACAGGCCAAGACAAAUCCCUUGAAAACUUCUUUACAGACUUGAUAGGUACUGAAUGGACUGUACAGAUUUUGGUUCAGGUCACCGGCCCAGAAGGCGAAGCAGAUUUUAUUCAAAUACCCUCUCACCUGUGGAAACAAGCGGACACUUCAGCCCCUCAUAUCACUUGGAAGGUUAUAAAGUAUAUUUUUAUUAAGAAAAAAUAGAUUUUUAAAUAUUACAACAAAUA